rnacentral:sRNA from 1 species
UGAUACCAUAGUCAAAAGGGCAUGCGUUUCAUACUUGCAUGAAAAAACAUGAUUUUAGGAUUGCGGGAGCACAAAGUACGGAGCAAUCCGUAGGUAUCA